CAAUCAUUGAAAACCACUUAUGAG
rnacentral:miRNA from 1 species